AACGAACGCUGGCGGCAGGCCUAACACAUGCAAGUCGAACGGACCCUUCGGGGUUAGUGGCGCACGGGUGAGUAACGCGUGGGAACGUGCCCUUCAGUACGGAACAACACCGGGAAACUGGUGCUAAUACCGUAUAAUAUCUCCGGAUCAAAGAUUUAUCGCUGAAGGAUCGGCCCGCGUCUGAUUAGGUAGUUGGUAGGGUAAUGGCCUACCAAGCCUACGAUCAGUAGCUGGUUUGAGAGAAUGAUCAGCCACACUGGGACUGAGACACGGCCCAGACUCCUACGGGAGGCAGCAGUGAGGAAUAUUGGACUAUGGGCGAAAGCCUGAUCCAGCCAUGCCGCGUGAGUGAUGAAGGCCUUAGGGUUGUAAAGCUCUUUCGGCGGGGAUGAUAAUGACCGUACCCGCAGAAGAAGCCACGGCUAAAUUCGUGCCAGCCGCCGCCGUAA
rnacentral:rRNA from 1 species